CCUACGGGAGGCAGCAGUGAGGAAUAUUUGUCAAUGGGCGCGAGCCUGAACCAGCCAAGUAGCGUGAAGGAUGACUGCCCUACGGGUUGUAAACUUCUUUUAUAAAGGAAUAAAGUGAGGCACGUGUGCCUUUUUGUAUGUACUUUAUGAAUAAGGUUCGGCUAACUCCGUGCCAGCAGCCGCGGUAAUACGGAGGAUCCGAGCGUUAUCCGUAUUGAUUGGGUUUAAAGGUAGCGUAGAUGGGUUGUUAAGUCAGUUGUGAAAGUUUGCGGCUCAACCGUAAAAUUGCAAUUGAUACUGGCAGGCUUGAGUACAGGUGAGGUAGGCGGAAUUCGUGGUGUAGCGGUGAAAUGCUUAGAUAUCACGAAGAACUCCGAUUGCGAAGGCAGCUUACUAAACUGCCACUGACAUUGAUGCUCGAAAGUGUGGGUAUCAAACAGGAUUAGAGACCACAGUAGUC
rnacentral:rRNA from 1 species